UACGGAGGAUCCGAGCGUUAUCCGGAAUUAUUGGGUUUAAAGGGUGCGUAGGCGGCCAUUUAAGUCAGCGGUGAAAUUUUGCAGCUUAACUGUAAGAGUGCCGUCGAUACUGGUUCCCUUGAGUGUGGAUGAGGUAGGCGGAAUUUGUGGUGUAGCGGUGAAAUGCAUAGAUAUCACGAGGAACUCCGAUUGCGCAGGCAGCUUACUAAACUACUACUGACGCUCAGGCACGAAGGCGUGGGGAGUCAAACAGGAUUAGAUACCCGU
rnacentral:rRNA from 1 species